UCGGGCGUGGUGUUGGACACCUCGGGCAUUCUGUAUUCAAGACCAGACGAGUGUGAUACGCCCGCAGACGGGGUUCGAUUCCCUGCGUCCGAA